rnacentral:rRNA from 1 species
AUUGAACGCUGGCGGCAUGCUUUACACAUGCAAGUCGAACGGUAACAGGCCGCAAGGUGCUGACGAGUGGCGAACGGGUGAGUAAUGCAUCGGAACGUGCCCAGUCGUGGGGGAUAACGCAGCGAAAGCUGCGCUAAUACCGCAUACGAUCUCUGGAUGAAAGCGGGGGACCGAAAGGCCUCGCGCGAUUGGAGCGGCCGAUGUCAGAUUAGGUAGUUGGUGGGGUAAAGGCCCACCAAGCCAACGAUCUGUAGCUGGUCUGAGAGGACGACCAGCCACACUGGGACUGAGACACGGCCCAGACUCCUACGGGAGGCAGCAGUGGGGAAUUUUGGACAAUGGGCGCAAGCCUGAUCCAGCAAUGCCGCGUGCAGGAAGAAGGCCUUCGGGUUGUAAACUGCUUUUGUACGGAACGAAACGGUCCGGGUUAAUACCCUGGGCUAAUGACGGUACCGUAAGAAUAAGCACCGGCUAACUACGUGCCAGCCGCCGCAGUAAUAC